rnacentral:rRNA from 1 species
UACGUAGGGGGCAAGCGUUGUCCGGAAUUAUUGGGCGUAAAGAGCGCGUAGGCGGUCCGAUAAGUCGGCUGUGAAAGUCAGGGGCUCAACCCUUGGAAGCCGGCCGAUACUGUCGGACUAGAGUCCGGAAGAGGAGAAUGGAAUUCCUGGUGUAGCGGUGAAAUGCGCAGAUAUCAGGAAGAACACCCGUGGCGAAGGCGGUUCUCUGGGACGGUACUGACGCUGAGACGCGAAAGCGUGGGGAGCGAACAGG